UUGCCUACGGGACGCAGCAGUGGGGAUAUUGGACAAUGGGGGGAACCCUGAUCCAGCGACGCCGCGUGAGUGAAGAAGUAUUUCGGUAUGUAAAGCUCUGUCAGCAGGGAAGAAAGAAAUGACGGUACCUGACCAAGAAGCCCCGGCUAACUACGUGCCAGCAGCCGCGGUAAUACGUAGGGGGCAAGCGUUAUCCGGAUUUACUGGGUGUAAAGGGAGCGUAGACGGCUGUGCAAGUCUGAAGUGAAAGCCCGUGGCUCAACCGCGGAACUGCUUUGGACACUGUAUAGCUUGAGUACUGGAGA
rnacentral:rRNA from 1 species